AGCUUUCUUCAAUCAUACGGGGAAGAUAUUAUUAAUAUUCACCACGGCCUUCUUCCCUCAUUCAAAGGAGGAAGUCCUUCUAGACAUGCCUUGAAUGCUGGGGUGAAGUUGAACUAGCCAUUUUGUUACUCCAGAACUUGAUGCUUGGCCAAUUAUUGAGCAUUUGAGCAGGUUGAACAGGUUUCUCGCAGAGACACAUUACAUAGCUUUGUUAUGAAGUCUGAGAACCUUGAGAAGAAGUACCUAGCAGAAACUAUCAAGUCAUACUGCGAGCUCCGUGUGCUACCAGAUGAAGUGAUGAAGGCUGUUGUGUUCUGAACCUUUUUUAUGAAUUUGUAUGAUGUGUAUUCUUUUUCCAGAACUAGCAAUACAUUAUUCAUUUAUUAAUUAAUAUACCCACGUCGAGCCAUGAGGUGUAUCUUGUUAGAGUUAUAAUACAAGUCAUGUACCCUUUUGUAUUUAUCCCAAUAUAUAAGGGGUUUUCCUGCA